rnacentral:rRNA from 1 species
AUUGAACGCUGGCGGCAUGCCUUACACAUGCAAGUCGAACGGUAACAGGUCUUCGGAUGCUGACGAGUGGCGAACGGGUGAGUAAUACAUCGGAACGUGCCUAGUAGUGGGGGAUAACUACUCGAAAGAGUGGCUAAUACCGCAUGAGAUCUACGGAUGAAAUCAGGGGAUCGCAAGAACUUGUGCUACUAGAGCGGCCGAGGGCAGAUUAGGUAGUUGGUGGGAUAAAAGCUUACCAAGCCGACGAGCUGUAGCUGGUCUGAGAGGACGAUCAGCCACACUGGGACUGAGGCACGGCCCAGACUCCUACGGGAGGCAGCAGUGGGGAAUUUUGGACAAUGGGCGAAAGCCUGAUCCAGCAAUGCCGCGUGCAGGAUGAAGGCCUUCGGGUUGUAAACUGCUUUUGUACGGAACGAAAAGCCCUGGGUUAAUACCCUGGGGUCAUGACGGUACCGUAAGAAUAAGCACCGGCUAACUACGUGCCAGCAGCCGCCGUAA